UGCGACUUUCAUAAAUUGUCAUUCUGGACGGAUCCGUUAAUUUUGUAAAGGGGUUCUUCACCCUCUCUUUGGGGAUUUCAUCAUUUUUUGGUGUAAAUUCUUUACGAAAAAAAGUAUUGCGAUGAUUAUGGACUUACUCCGAACAAGGGAAAGGUUUGAGACUCCAUAAAAAGUAUUAUUUGUAAUUUUGACACAGUGAAAAUACUGGUAAAUUGUGCCGAGGAAAGCACACCCUUUACCGCAAGUGGUGUGGUCCAAACAUACUUUGUCACACUGGAAGUGAUCAACACUCGGCGCCGCAAGACCAAGGACAUUGGCUGAGCUGGAUGAAUUACAUGCGAAGAGCAUGCUUUCAUUGGGAGAAUCGCAGAUUCAAGUUGUGCAACGUGAGAAUGAAGAGGGUCACAGUCUUUAGAAAUGGCUGCAAUCAAAAUGGCAAGGUAAUAUGUUGUGAAGACUCUAUGGAACGGGUGAAAGAUGCUGCAAGUUCUGCUCUGGAUGUUGAUGCUACUACAGUUUACACUUCAACAGGAGGACAAAUAUCAGAUACUGCAUUAAUCAGGUAGGGCCUACUGAGAAAGUAUGUAGCAGCAAUAGACAAUGUGAACGUUUGUUACAAACUAAAUAAGUAACUGUCUAUCUAUCUAACUAACUAACAGAGAGUCAUGAUGAUUUGUUGAGCUUCACUAUCGACAGCUAAAAACACUGUAAAGAAAUAUAUGACUUGAAGCUUUUGCUGGAUGCUGGAGGCUUUAUGGAUGUGCGUGUGCAAUUGGGUGUGACUGCUGGAUGUAGGAUAUGCACUGGGGUGUGUUGGAUGUUAUACAAAUAUUGAGUGGCUCAGAGUGAAAUGGG